rnacentral:rRNA from 1 species
CCUACGGGCGGCUGCAGUGGGGAAUAUUGCACAAUGGGCGCAAGCCUGAUGCAGCCAUGCCGCGUGUGUGAAGAAGGCCUUCGGGUUGUAAAGCACUUUCAGCGGGGAGGAAGGCGUUAAGGUUAAUAACCUUGGCGAUUGACGUUACCCGCAGAAGAAGCACCGGCUAACUCCGUGCCAGCAGCCGCGGUAAUACGGAGGGUGCAAGUGUUAAUCGGAAUUACUGGGCGUAAAGCGCACGCAGGCGGUCUGUCAAGUCGGAUGUGAAAUCCCCGGGCUCAACCUGGGAACUGCAUUCGAAACUGGCAGGCUAGAGUCUUGGAGAGGGGGGUAGAAUUCCAGGUGUAGCGGUGAAAUGCGUAGAGAUCUGGAGGAAUACCGGUGGCGAAGGCGGCCCCCUGGACAAAGACUGACGCUCAGGUGCGAAAGCGUGGGGAGCAAACAGGAUUAGAUACCCUAUAGUC